rnacentral:rRNA from 1 species
CCUACGGGUGGCAGCAGUGAGGAAUAUUGGUCAAUGGACGAGAGUCUGAACCAGCCAAGUAGCGUGAAGGAUGACUGCCCUAUGGGUUGUAAACUUCUUUUAUAUGGGAAUAAAAUGUUCCACGUGUGGGAUUUUGUAUGUACCAUAUGAAUAAGGAUCGGCUAACUCCGUGCCAGCAGCCGCGGUAAUACGGAGGAUCCGAGCGUUAUCGGGAUUUAUUGGGUUUAAAGGGAGCGUAGGUGGAUUGUUAAGUCAGUUGGGAAAGUUUGCGGCUAAACCGUAAAAUUGCAGUUGAAACUGGCAGUCUUGAGUACAGUAGAGGUGAGCGGAAUUCGUGGUGUAGCGGUGAAAUGCUUAGAUAUCACGAAGAACUCCGAUUGCGUAGGCAGCUCACUGGACUGCAACUGACACUGAGGCUCGAAAGUGUAGGUAUCAAACAGGAUUAGAUACCCGUGUAGUC